UGGUGGUGGCACAAAAUCGGAGGCCCCGACUGUUUACUAAAAACACAAUUCAGAGCAAUGAUGUAAAUCAUAGUAUUCUGGAUGAAAUUUGCCCAAUGCCAUUAACAUAAGAGAGGUAAUGGGAAACUGUUACUAAUUGAAAGUCUGGUUAAUAGCGGUCUUAACUAUGAGGAUCCUAAGGUAGCAAAAUCAGUUGGCCAUUAAAUGUGGUCUGGUAUCAAUAGUGUAACGAUGGUCUCACUGUCUCUACAACUUGCUCAGUGAAAUUGAAUUACCCGUGCAGAUGCGGGUUACCUCCAGGUGGACGGGAAGACCCUAUGCAGCUUCUACUGA
rnacentral:rRNA from 1 species